CUCCAAAUCUAUCAUAAAAGCUUGCUAACUCUCUUAUCACAGUUUGUUGUUGCUGUUGUUUGUUUGUUUGUUUGUUUGCUUGUUUUUUUUUGGUUUUUUUUUUAAUAUAUACAGCCUGAAAUUCUCUGGAUGUCCUUGUUUCUGUUUAACAGGAGAAAUAUUAUCCCUUUGAGCUGCAGAGCCUUAAUCUACCUUUGAUCAACAGCUUCAGUUUGAUUCAGAAUGGACAGCAGUUUCAGGGGGAAUACCUACCCAGUCCUGCUGGAUAAUUUCUACCUCUCUCUCAAAUAUAUAGAAGGAAUCACUACAUCUUUCAUCAAGACGUCAGAGGACUGCUGUUACUAAAGGAUGGAAGGAGGAAACUUGACAUAUCAGAAGAAAUACAGAAAGUAUUUUUCUGCAUUGACUUAAAGUAAUCGGGGUGAAUCCCUAAUAGAGCUUAUCAGCUAAAAAUGUAAUAU
rnacentral:lncRNA from 1 species